AAUAUGGAAUGUUAGGCUAAGUGCGCGACGUCGUGUCGCAACGCCUAACUGACCCACAUCCUGUGAG
rnacentral:sRNA from 1 species